AUGUGGUGGCGGCAUUACCCCCGCAACCACGUCGGCGAUGACAAGACGCAGUUUGUCGCCGUGGCUACGGGUGGUUUCAGGCACAGCAUGUGCAUACCGCAGGAGGUUGGAAAUCAUUUGGGGAGCAUGAUCUCGGAGACCAUCAAACUAGAAGCUCCUAAUGGCAUAUUCCAUAUUGGAGUGUGUAGAAGAAAGACGGGUGAGCUAGUUCUUCGGGCUGGCUGGGAUAAGUUUGUCGCAAUGCAUCACAUAGAAGAAAAUUAUUCUUUUUGGUUUGUGUACCGUGGGAACUCUACCUUUAAGGUUCAUAUAUUCAAUUCUAACGGUCGUGAGAAGGCUACUUUCUGUUCUAAACCACCUUCUGAGAGCUUUGGUGGUGUUCCACCUGCCGCAACUUGCCAUCAUCAUGUGCUGAAUGAACAAGUACCGUCUGUUUCUGGAAAUGUUCAGACCUCAACUGACUCUGGCUAUAGCAUGUUACCUGGCUGCCAUCUAGCACAAGAUGAGAAAGUACGUGAACUAGCUUGUACAAUGAGAUCUCAAGUUCCCCUUUAUGUGGCAGUCAUGAACAAAAGCAAUGUCAACUUGAAGAAUUGCUCUGUUAACCUACCGUUAAAGCUUGUGGAACAUUUCAAGGAGGACACAUCUAAAGCUACUAUUCAACUAGAAGCCCCUAAUGACAUGAUAUAUGGUGUUGAAGCUUGCAAGCAUGGUGAUGAUCAAAUAGUCCUCCAAUAUGGGUGGAAUAAUCUUGUACUCCCUCUGUAA
rnacentral:rRNA from 1 species